AAUCGAGAGUUUGAUCCUGGCUCAGGACGAACGCUGGCGGCGUGCCUAAUACAUGCAAGUCGAACGCACUCUCGUUUAGAUUGAAGGAGCUUGCUCCUGAUUGAUAAACAUUUGAGUGAGUGGCGGACGGGUGAGUAACACGUGGGUAACCUGCCCUAAAGUGGGGGAUAACAUUUGGAAACAGAUGCUAAUACCGCAUAAAACCUAACACCGCAUGGUGUAGGGUUGAAAGAUGGUUUCGGCUAUCACUUUAGGAUGGACCCGCGGUGCAUUAGUUAGUUGGUGAGGUAAAGGCUCACCAAGACCGUGAUGCAUAGCCGACCUGAGAGGGUAAUCGGCCACACUGGGACUGAGACACGGCCC
rnacentral:rRNA from 2 species